ACAUACGACCAUAGGAAUUUCCGAUCGCAUCGAACCCCGUCAGAUCUUCUGUUAAUUAAACGGUUUACCGGCGAGUUAGUAGUCAGGUGGGUGACUACUGGCGAAUCCUCGCUGUUGCAUGUA
rnacentral:rRNA from 1 species